UGGGGCAUGUAUUAGAGGCUCGGAUGUGCGUGCAUUUGGGGAGAGGAGGGGUUGGGGGGUGUGUGUGUGUGUCCACCCUCUGCCCCCAGCCCAGCAGGUGAGACUGGCCAUGUGGCAAUCACAGAGGCUUUUUUUUCAUGCAGCCCAGUGGGGACCCUCAUUAAGCGGUGCCUCUCGCCCUCAUCUCCAGACCUGACAGGGGAGCCGGACCAUACGGCAAGUGCGGGACGGGCUCCUGCAGCCCGCCCCGGGGGUGGAACCACCCGGAGGAGAGUGAGCCGGAGCCUAGAGCGAUUGAAAAUACUCCAAGACUGAGACCCGGAGCAGGUUGAACAAGAUCUCCUCCCACACUGAGUGUGACUUCGAGAAUUGCCUUGACUUCCUCUUUCUCUCACUGUCCUGGAUCUCUUCCAACCUGGUGCAGGCCCUCCAUGCUCCAGUGGAACUGCUCUCCCCUGAAAAACAGGGGAGACUUAAUUUUGCAGCCUCUGCCAUGUCCUCGCUUUCACUUAGUGCUGUCAGUCAUUUCCCCUUCCUUUGCACCCCAUUUCCCUCUAGCUUUUGUGGCCCUGGCUCUCCAUCUCCCUCCAGCAGUGGCUGUGGUGGCUUCUCUUCCUCCACCCUUGCUUCUCAGUCCUUUGUCUCGUCCUCUUCUCUCUCAAAAUUGCUUAUGUGCAUAUGACUUCCUCUUUCUACUAACUCAGUUACAUCUCUGUGGCAACAAAUCUUCAGGUUUUCUGCACCAGACUUGGCUCCCUCUGCACAGAACCGUAUGCUUUAUUGUUGCUCUGAUAUGUGUUCCUCAUUCUCAGGUAUGUCUUCUUGUAUAACCAAUGACUCAAGCUUCAUUUGUUAACAAAAACGGUCUUAUUUUUUCUCCCAACUCCUUUUUCCUGUCACUAUAGACAGUACCAUUAUCCCUGCACCCUCAGGCUCACAAGCCUAAGGCCAUGUUUCUUCCCUCUUCCAAUCCUUACUCAUCCAAACUGUUAUCAAGUGGCAGUGUGUCUUUCUCCAUUCCUUUCUGCCCCAACAGCUAAACUGCUUCUUCACAUUCUGGUCAUCUGAGUAAAUUCCCCCAUAUCCACUACUGUUUUUCCCUGUUCUCUUCCUGUCCCUAAUGCUCCUGCAUUACAUUCCUCUCCAAUGGAUCUUAUCAGACCCCUUGCCCUCUCACUGUUUCCCUUUGGCUAGCAUAUUGGGUACGCAUUUGCCAUCCUUGCCUUCAAGGUCUACCAUUACAAAGGUCACGUCCCCAAUUAUUAUCAAGGUUCUCAGUUUCCUCAUCCCUUUUAUUCCAACUGCACAUUAUCAAUGCCCACUCAUGCACACCUAAUCUUUAAGCUGGGCUGCCCACAUAGUAAUACCUACCUAGCACAUACCUACCUAUAGUGUGUUUCAUCUGUAGUGCUCAUGGAACAACCUCCUAUUGCAGUUCUCCAGAUCACCUUCCUCUCCUUAUUCAGAUUUCUCUGAGAUUCCCUCCUCUUAGCAUUACAAGUAUUAAUCCAGACAAUUAAAUGUCCUCACAAAGAGCCAUUCUUUCAAGUUACUCCCUGUGGGCAGAGCCCUGUGCCUGCAAAGAACCCCAGUGAAGUCAAUGACCUAGUCCUCGUCCAAGUUAAGGCAACUGGAAAGUCGUCCACUACUUAUGCAGAGUAUGUUUAAUACUUUUUAAAACCAGGUGUGCUAGUACAGUUGUAAUCCGGGAAUCAGAUACAGCUGAAAGGUAUUAAACAUAGAUGAUAAGCAGACUGUGGAAUACAACUGAUCUGAUUCAGCUGAGAAAAAGCAUCUUUUUCUCAUCUAAAAUUUCCUGUGGGGCUGAACAUGGGAAUAAAUACUCUUCCAUAUAGAGUAGUUUGAAGAAACAGGGCCAACAAGGAGAUGAGGGAAACAGGGAGCAAGAAAAAUAAUGUGGUAAUUUUUACAGCACACAAAUGCAUUAGGUGAGAGGAUGCGUGCCCCAAAGAAUUUAUCAUGUAAUCUUAGAUAUAUGCCACCAAAGGGAAUAAUGGGACAGUGUUGUAAACCCUGCCAAAACAAUCAUCCCAGCUCCUGGGUCUGAUCAUGUCACCCCCUUGUAUCCUUUCUCUACAUCCUACAGUACUCCUAAAGCACAUGGAGCACCUACUGGGCACAUCUACAUGUUCAUUAAUGUGCCAUAAUUACAACACUUUAAGUUUAGUACCUGUAAUAAUAGGUACAAACAUAAUGCGCCAUAAUCAACACUACUGCACAUUAGUGCAAACAAAUGGUCUUUUUGUGCCAUUAAUGCACAGUAGACCAAACCUACUGUGCAUUACUGCACUAACAUUGGGUUUGCCUACUGUCCUAAUGCAUAGCAGAGGUAGUCUACUGCGUUUGAAAUGUCUUGUGUAGAUACACCCAUUCAUUGUACAUAAAAUGCAAUUUUAAGAUUUGCAUUUUUUAAAUCCAAUUUAAAAUUAAACUUUGCUUUCCAGGCCCUUCACAACCUAUUCCUAUCCUCUUAUCUCUCAUACACUGUGAAGAUGUCAGCUUUUGCCUGCACUCUGCCAGUGAUGCCAGUCAUCAUCACCCACUUGUCACACUUUCAUAUCAGUCUCUUUGUGUUUGCUUUCAUUGCUGCUCCUCACACAUGGGACACUUCAUUUUUCAAACAACUGUUAGUUAUUCAGGUAUGAUAUAUGUGCACCUCAGUUAAGCAGUGUGCUACUUAAAUAAAUUUAUAUAAAAACUGUU